UUUUAAAGUAUGACAUUGCACAAUUAACUUGUUUAGGUUUUAUACUUGUAAAUAAAUUUGAAUUAUGGGCUAAAACAGCUAAUAAAUACAAAAACAAAGAAAAUAACAUACACAUAUUUUAUGCACCAGUAUAAGAUAAAAAGCAACAAACAUAAGUGGUUCGUCACAUUCUACGCACAUAGUAGCAGUUUUUUUUUUUGUGGCAACUUUGCCAUUUCAGCUGCUUCUUUUUUGUUAUCUCGUCUGUUGGUAAUUCAGCAACUUAAUGUUUUCUUCCAUCAAAUCUAGAAUCUAGUUUUGCCCUCUUACUAGGACGUCCUGUGCUGGCAGUGACUCUUCUGUUACUUUCAAGAAUUGCAGUGACAAUUUGACGACGAAAUGUCAGAUCUAUGGGGUCUUUGUUGUGCUUUUAAAAAUCCCAGGCAUUUUGCUCUGCAAUGACUAUAAAAUGUGCAGUGAUUGGGAAAUACCACUUUUCCCUCUUACAGAGCAUCUAUAUAGGGAUACAUUUUGGUCAGCUCGAUCUGUGCCUCCCAUAGGAGUAUUGUAAGAGUGUAAUAAGUUAGGUUGAGGCACGCUAAUCCUUUUCUUUUGUUCUCUGGAAAAAUCUUGUUAACAGUGUAGUGGUUGCACUCUGAAAGUUGGUGACUACAGUAACAUUGUCAUUCCAACGUGCAAUGGAAAUCCCGGAUGCUGAGUCAGAACAAACUUCAUAUGAUCCUCUAUCUUUUAUCAUUUUAUCUACAGAUGGUUCCUGUUGCUUCCACGCCCCCUCUAUUUUAGGUCAUGUAGUAGUUAAACGCUGCUAAAGAGGUUAUCAAAGUAUAUUUGAUAGGGAACAUGUGGAAGUAACUGGUCAACAUAAGUCAUUACCACACCGUACCCCAUACCUUUCAUUUCAUAAUCCUUACUACGCGUGCCAGUGUUAGGUAUUUCCUAAUCUUUUGAUUCUAACAUGUCCAAAAGUCCCAUCAGUGUAUAUCAUUUUCUGUGAAUACAGAAUGACAACAUAUUACCCUGACGUCCUUCUGGAAGGAUGGUUGAAAACAUUAUUAAAUUAAAACUAACAAAAAUAAUAUGAACCUGUAAAUAAUAUAGGUUAAUUCUUGAAGAUAUUAUGACAAGUUUCAGGAUUAUUGAUGCAAUAUGAAAGAAAAUAUACAUACACAUCGAUGACAAGGUCGAUCAGUUUGUCCGUGGUAAAAUAGGCCCUAAUUUCAAGACAGUUUCUCACUCACUAUGAACGACAGCGUCAAACUGACCGUUGCAGCGCGCAAUUGACUCGGCCUACUUCAUAUAACAAUGUGUCACAGUCCGUUGCAACAAUGCGUUAUUGGCAAAAAUAAUUUCAACAGUGACACUGUCCUUCCAGAAGGACGUCAGGGUUAUCUGGGUUAAAGUAUUGUCUGAUAGAUUUCAGUGGUAAUUGUAAAAGGCAAUCGUAUUGGAAAGUUAUGCACUCUAUGGUGUAAGACUUCAAACUGCUUCACAAAUAGAUUGCUGUGAAUGGUACAUAAAGUUUGCAUGUUAUGAUAAACUGAAAUCAACAUCCCAUUCAAAAACAUUAAAACUGUUUCAGUAAUUUUAUGUUAAGUUUGUAUACUGCUCCAGAUCAGCACACACUGGUUCAUUAAACUGCAUAUGCUGUUCAAACAGGUACAGUACCUGUAAACUUGAUCCUGAAAGUUAAUUUUUACUGAGUACCAAGCCCGUGCAAUAUUGACUUGCCCUUCCUCUUUACUAAAGAAAUGUUGUUAAAGAUUAUAAAUUGAUAAACUACUUAAGCAUUACAUGUCUGUUAAAGCAUCUGCACAGUACCCUUCAUGCAGUUCAGCCUGAAUUGGACAAAAAUGAAUAAUAAAUUGGCAGUUAAUUGUUCAUUGUAAAUGUUAAAUUUAUUUUAAAAAUAGAAACAAUUUUUUAGAACAAUUUCUUGUGAAGUAAAUAAUUGUAGACAAGAUUUGUCUCCAGUUUCCAAUUUACAUCUCUCAUUGCUGUGACUAAUCCUACAGAUUGUAAUCAGCAGUAAUGUGAUGGUUUUGUAAAUAGUUUUGGGACACUAAACCAUUUUAGUAGGAAGAAUGUAACAGAUUCAAACCUAAGCAGCAGUCUGGCAUGUCAAUUUUUACAAAAUAAAAUCUUGAAUCAAUAUGCUUCAUACCUUGUAAGUCUUCCUUGUUACAUAUGGAAAAUCUGCUUGGCUUAGCUGCUUUCUACAAUAAUUUACUCACAUUACAAGAGCAAGUAGGAAAGAAUCACAUAUGCAAUGUAAACCAUGUGCAGCUAGGGAUGGGUGGAAUGUGUCUAAGAAAAAGGUGCUUAUUAUAAAUGUGGAAGGUUUAAAAUUCAAUUGUAAUUCACUCACUGAAAAUCUGAAUUGGUAUAAAAUAAGAUGCUCUAAUAUGAUAAAUUUGCUGGUAUAAAGCCUGUACUGCAUUUUUCAUUCAUUAGGGGAAUUUCAAUCCAUAUCAGUUACUACCUUCAAAUCUGCACAAAGUGGUGCUCUUUUAGUGUAUGUAGUAUAUUACAUAAACCUGGCAUUUGAAGUUACAUUGAAUAGGUUCAGGUGGCCUCCCAAUCAACUGGUAUGAAGUGAAAUCACUUUAAACACAGACAUUAUUCUGUAGGGCUUGAUUCUAACAGAGGUUAAAGGAGCCUAAAGUCCUUCCUACACAUGCUGUCCCUGAGUAACUUCUGAAGUGUGGGCUGAUUGGAACUGAUGGCUUCCUGUAAUAGGCAGCACAUCAACAAAAUUGAGUUAAACAACUUGAUAUGGUGUUGCUGUAAUUGACACAUUCUUGUUCAAAAAAUGCCAGAAAUGAGCAGUUUUGAAACUUCUGAAAAACUGACAAUAAGUUAGCAUAAAUGGUCACCGUUGCAAAAGUUCUUGUUACACUUCGGUUUUUUGAAACAGAAAAGUCUGAGGUGAUGUUAAUGUAAUUUCAUUAGGGCAAAGGAUAAUCUGCUGUCAGGAAUGAUGAGGAACAAAUUGUGAGCUUUCAAAGUACCUUUGAGGAAAUAAACUGCAAUGUUGUAACAAAUUUAAAUGCAUUCUUCAGAUCAUGGGAAAGCUUACACAUGUUAACUGUCCUAUGGUCAGCUACAGCAAAACACUCACCAGAUGCCAUGUACUUUGCCUGACAGUGAAACAUCAGUGUGUAGCAGUCAACAUAUUAAAAUAUUGUUGUUCCCCCUAUGUAGUUGUAAAGUUUUAGCACUAAUAUACAUUAAUGGUGUAAAAUGUAAGAUGUUCAAUAGAAUGCAGUUUAGUCAAACACUAGUCUUAAAAACAGAUGUGAUGUAAAAGAAUUUUGUGGUUGUUUGUAGAGAUCAAAAGUACAUGUUUUGCAAGUGCCAUGAUCAGAUUAGAUUAGUACUUGUUCCAUAGAUCAGGAAUAACACACUUCAUAAUGUGGAACGUGCCAGGUUAAUAAAAGGUGUCUAUACAAGAUACAUUACACAAAAUA